rnacentral:rRNA from 1 species
UACAGAGGUCCCAAGCGUUGUUCGGAUUCAUUGGGCGUAAAGGGUGCGUAGGCGGCGCGGUAAGUCGGGUGUGAAAUCUCGGAGCUUAACUCCGAAACUGCAUUCGAUACUGCCGUGCUUGAGGACUGGAGAGGAGACUGGAAUUUACGGUGUAGCGGUGAAAUGCGCAGAUAUCAGGAGGAACACCGAUUGCGAAGGCAGCUCGCUGGGACGUAACUGACGCUGAGACGCGAAAGCGUGGGGAGCAAACAGG